rnacentral:rRNA from 1 species
GACGAACGCUGGCGGCGUGCCUAAUACAUGCAAGUCGAGCGAAGUUUUUCUGGUGCUUGCACUAGAAAAACUUAGCGGCGAACGGGUGAGUAACACGUAAAGAACCUGCCUCAUAGACUGGGACAACUAUUGGAAACGAUAGCUAAUACCGGAUAACAGUAUUUCUCGCAUGAGAGAUAUUUAAAAGUUGGUUAUGCUAACACUAUGAGAUGGCUUUGCGGUGCAUUAGCUAGUUGGUGGGGUAAAGGCCCACCAAGGCGACGAUGCAUAGCCGACCUGAGAGGGUGAUCGGCCACACUGGGACUGAGACACGGCCCAGACUCCUACGGGAGGCAGCAGUAGGGAAUCUUCCGCAAUGGGCGAAAGCCUGACGGAGCAACGCCGCGUGAGUGAAGAAGGAUUUCGGUUCGUAAAGCUCUGUUGUUAGGGAAGAAUGGAUAUGUAGUAACUAUACAUGUAAGAGACGGUACCUAACCAGAAAGCCACGGCUAACUACGUGCCAGCAGCCGCGGUAAUACGUAGGUGGCAAGCGUUGUCCGGAAUUAUUGGGCGUAAAGCGCGCGCAGGUGGUUUAAUAAGUCUGAUGUGAAAGCCCACGGCUCAACCGUGGAGGGUCAUUGGAAACUGUUAAACUUGAGUGCAGGAGAGAAAAGUGGAAUUCCUAGUGUAGCGGUGAAAUGCGUAGAGAUUAGGAGGAACACCAGUGGCGAAGGCGGCUUUUUGGCCUGUAGCUGACACUGAGGCGCGAAAGCGUGGGGAGCAAACAGG